rnacentral:lncRNA from 1 species
AUGAGGGGAAGAAAGGAUGCUUUGCCCUGGCCUCACCUCAGCUCGGUGGGUGGGGGUGGGAGAACCUCUCGCCGCCUCCUCUUCCUCCUCCUCCUCCUCCUCCUCCUCCACCACCACCUCCUCCUCCUUCUUCUCCACCUCCUCCCCAGCAGCGACGGUCACCGGCGGGCUGGGUGCGCGGCUCCGGCUCCCUCACACGGCCCCCGCCUCCCGCUCGGCUCCGGGGAGGACCCGGGAGCCGCCGCCGGCCUCCCCGCGGCAGCCACUCGGGGUGGAGGCUGCGCGCCUGCGCCUCUCCGCUGCUGCCUCCAGCGGGAGGCCGCGCCGGGCUCCGCCGCUCGGGGGGCGCCGGGGCUGUGGCAGCAUGCUGCUGUGCCACACGUUAGUAUGAGCUGCACAAUAAGCAGAAGUAAGACCUCCACAUCCUGCAGGUCAUUUAAAUUGGAUUCUGUAUGAAGAGUCAUCUGCAAGAAGUCCAAGAUGAUGCAUCUCUCCAUUUACACCUGCAAGAUGCACAAGAGACUUAUAACUAAGACAUCGCCUGAAGAAAGUUAAUAAGGUUGUUAGUAGUCUGCAUCGCUAAUGAAAAGUCUAUGGAUGAUUCUAGUCUUUUCCUUCAGGUCUUGAUGAAACCUGCAAAUGUCAGAAAGUUGAUUUUUCUGAAGAACCAGCAGCUAUAAGUAAAAAAGAAGAGAAAAACGGAGAAAAAAAGUAGAGAAAGACACUGACAAGAACUGCUACUGCUUGUGACUAAUCCGUUGCAAGCUUACAUGUACAUUUGCUUGCAUCUUAAUAGAUCUUUUAACCUAAUUUACUGAGUCUAUUUCUUUUUAAUUAACUUUCAUAAAAGUUCAGGUAUUUUUUCAUGAAGUACACAAAGUUCAGCUAAGAAAGCUAUUAUCAUCUACAGUAGCAAUACAGCAAUGUGGAAUUCAGUUUUUUUGAUUAAAAAUAGAUGCAUAAAUCAAAAGAAAUAAACCUGAAGUGUCUCACACCCUUUUACACUGUCCUCACUUUUCAGUGACAGUUAAAGAAUGAUAUAAAGAAUUCCUUUUUGUGUUUGCCUGUUCGACAUGACCAGUGCAAAUAAAUCACAUAGGCUUAGGAAGACAGGCAAUUAUCUAUCAGCAGGCUCAUUCAUUUCUAGACUGUAGGUGGAUGUAGUUUCAAACAGAAAGAAAAUGGCUUUCCGAAAAUCCACAUGCACCUGUUAAUUGUGAGAGAAGCAUAUAUAAUGCUCCAUGUAAAAUGAGAAUGCUACAUUUCAAUAAAAACUGUGAUUUCUCUGUCAGAAAUGCUAUGCACAUUCAAGUUGAAUUAUGCAGCAUACUACUUCUCAAGAUGGUUGUACAUCCUGAUCGAUCAGGUCAAGAGUUACGCAUUACCUAUAAAGCACACAUCAAGUGGGAAUGAUGCUGCAAGAAUAUUUACAUUUUCAAAGCAUUCUGCAUUUUCAAUGACAGCUGAAUGAACCAUCCCUUAAAAAAAAAAAAGGGAAGGAAAACAAUGAUACUUCAUUAAAUUAAUGAACCUGUUCAAAAGUAUGGAAUGAACAUCUAGCAAAUUAUAAUGAUCAUAGAACUUGCAACAGUAGGUGGUGGGGAAAAAAAGACUACUGCUAUCCUAUUUUGGAAAUUACUAUGACAGGGAACUAGGUUCCAUUCCAUUUAAAGAUUUCUUCAUGCAAAUUGCAUGAGGCAUUUUCUAAAAAUUGAGUGGAUUUCCAUAAUGGAAUUUUGGCAAAUUAAAUCAAAACAGGUUGCUAUGACAGUUCCUACAAAUAUUUCUAUUUUAGCUUUAUUUUGUAUUAUAAAUAUGUCAAGAUGAAGUCAUUCUUGUCAAAACAAAGUUAUCUUUCCUUUUGGGAAAAAUGUCCGGGCCUUUUCUCAAUGCUCUAAUUUUCCAUAUUCAUCAAAGUCAAGAUGAGGGCUAAUUUCAAAUGCUCUACAUACAUCUGCAUAAUCAUAAACCCACAUAAACAUAGCUUCAGUCUUAUAAAUGAGUGAUGUCAUUACAUACAGUAUUGUUAGCUUAACUGCCUUUCCUUACUGCUCUGUGUAAGAAGUGACUGAAAAAUAAAUGAUAUUUAACGUUGACAAAAUGGUUUCUAGUGGUUUCUCAAGUCAAUGGUGUAGACGCAGGUCAUUGCCAGAAAACAUUAACAGUCCUAGGUUUUGUUCCAGUAGCACAAUGCCAUGUGAAAUCCAAAUGGAAGCAGGGAAUUGCAUCUGCUCCUCUGUAAAUAAGAAACAGGUGGCCUCUUAAAGGUACAGCACAGAUUUAUCUUAAAAAAACAGCACAGAUUUAUCUUACAGAUUUUAUUGAUGAAAUCUUACAGAAGGAACUCAUUUAAUAUUGGUGCCAGUGGGCCACUGCAAGUGUUAGCUGAUUGAGAUUACAUCAAGAGUAAAAGAAAUGUCUUUCUGCAUCCAUUCAUAUACAACAGGAUAAAGUUGACCCAGAGUUUCUAUGAGGAAAAAGAUUUCCCAAACUGGGAACUGGGUCCUCACAGUCAAGAAGUAUAGAAAGGAGUUUAGAAAGGCUAUUUUCUGUUUUUAGUUUUUUAGACAUCAGUGUAAGAACUAUAGGUUGGAGACAGAGCUGCAAAAGAUAGUUUACUUGUGUGAGGUAAUAAACUUGAUAAAUUACUGUUAAAGAUGUUCAAUUAAAAUUUAUAGAUAUAAGUCCCUGAAAUUGACCCAGGCGUGUCCUAUAUCUAUGUAUUAAUCCUAGGUUUUAAAGGAAAGGGUUGUGGUUUUUUUUUGGAUGUCUGUUGCUUGUAUCUCCUAAGACUGGCUGACAUCUGCGUUGGUUUAUGACACACCCUCAAAAUGUGAUUCAAGUACUACAACAGAGCAGCAAGGUUUGCUUGAGUUCUGUCAAGAAAUUACAAAUAGUUUGAUUAAUAGCAUCAUAUUUUUUGGUUCUCUGACGUUGCUAACAAACAAGGAAAAGAGAAAGUCUCAAAGAAAGGAAUAAAAUGACCAGAGUGCAUACAGAAGAAGGGAGACAGAAAGUAUAAUAUUCUGAAAAGGCAGGCAGAAAAGAGCUGAUUUAAGAUUGAUGAGCUGAGGAACUGCAGAAGCUGGAGUUACCUGCAUUUUUUCAGCACAUGUUGAAAGGUAUUCUGCUUGAAGGGGUACAGUGCAGACUUCUUUCUUGGUCUUUUCCUCUCCAAACCUCAGAGAUGGCUCAGAGAU